GGAGCACGCAGGUGACGGCGGGGCGGGUGGUAGAUCGCUGAGUGGCCAGGCUGCCUGACUGGCCGGCUUGGGCGUCUGGGCCGUGAAGGUGGGACCGCCGGUUGUGGGCGGCAAGUUCCCCUCUCCAGCCUCCCGCCGUUCGUAGCAUGUCCCCCAGAACCCGGGGAGCGCAGGCAGGACUGGCUUAGAGAAGACGCCGUCCCUAGCACUUGGGCCACGGACGUGCCACCCCGCUCCUCUAUUGCUGGAGAACCGCCGAGCCAAGCCGCUGGGAGAAGCAGGCCAGAGCCUUCCAGGGCCUCCGGCCCGGGGACCCGAGGAGAAUGAGCUGGCUCUUUCCCCUGAGCAAGAGCGCCUCCUCGUCCGCAGCUGGGUCCCCCGGUGGCCUCACCAGCCUCCAGCAGCAGAAACAGCGCCUGAUCGAGUCCCUCCGGAACUCACACUCCAGUAUAGCUGAAAUACAGAAAGAUGUGGAAUACAGAUUGCCAUUCACCAUAAACAACCUGACAAUUAACAUUAAUAUAUUGCUUCCUCCACAAUUUCCUCAGGAAAAACCAGUGAUCAGUGUUUAUCCACCGAUACGACAUCACUUAAUGGAUAAACAAGGAGUGUAUGUUACCUCUCCAUUAGUAAACAAUUUUACCAUGCACUCAGAUCUUGGAAAAAUUAUUCAAAGUCUGUUGGAUGAGUUUUGGAAGAACCCUCCAGUUUUAGCUCCUACUUCAACAGCAUUUCCUUAUCUAUACAGUAACCCAAGUGGGAUGCCUCCUUAUGCUUCUCAGGGUUUUCCAUUUCUUCCUCCAUAUCCUCCACAAGAAGCAAACAGGAGCAUCACUUCUUUAUCUGUUGCUGACACUGUUUCUUCUUCAACAACAAGUUACGCCACAGCCAAACCUGCCGCUCCUUCAUUUGGUGUCCUUUCAAAUCUGCCGUUACCCAUUCCCACAAUGGGUGCUUCAGUACCGACAAGUCAAAAUGGUUUUGGUUACAAGAUGCCAGAUGUCCCUGAUGCAUUUCCAGAACUCUCAGAACUAAGUGUGACACAACUCACAGAUAUGAAUGAACAAGAGGAGGUAUUACUAGAACAGUUUCUGACUUUGCCUCAACUAAAACAAAUUAUUACUGACAAAGAUGACUUAGUAAAAAGUAUUGAGGAACUAGCAAGAAAAAAUCUCCUUUUGGAGCCCAGCUUGGAAGCCAAAAGGCAAACUGUUUUAGAUAAGUAUGAAUUACUUACACAAAUGAAGUCUACUUUCGAAAAGAAGAUGCAAAGGCAGCAUGAACUUAGUGAGAGCUGUAGUGCAAGUGCCCUACAGGCAAGAUUGAAAGUAGCUGCACAUGAAGCUGAGGAAGAAUCUGAUAAUAUUGCAGAAGACUUCUUGGAGGGAAAGAUGGAAAUAGAUGAUUUUCUCAGUAGCUUCAUGGAAAAGAGAACAGUAUGUAAUACUCGUCAAUUGAGGACAAGUAUUGAAUAAAGUUUGGUAUUUUUAUAGGGAGGAGAAGCACUGGGUCUUAGCUAUUUCUCUAUUAUGCUAUCAUCCCCCUUUUUUUGUACAAUAUAUUAUUUACCUGAAAGGAAGGUUUUUAUUUCUUGGGUGUGGACUUGGGCAAAAACCAGGUACCUGGAACUUAAAACUUUGAAGGUCUGUCAUAGGACUCUGGACAGCCACACACCUUAGCUAUUCCCAGGGAACCCCAUGGGGGGCAAGUGCCAUUGUUCUAAGAUGUCCUUUUGAUGUGACUUGAGAAGUAAAUGAGAGUGAGGGCCUGUACGUGUGGCUAUUUCCUGUCUGGUAUGUCAGAGGAACAGUCCUGGUGAGAAAGGGGCUCGUCUGAGCAGAAAUUGCUAAUAAACUUUGUGCUGAUCUGGGAAAAAAAAUUUUUUUUUGACAGUAUAAUAUCAAAUUACUUUAGCAUACUCAUGAGUGAAAAACAUCAGCACAUUACUGAAGUGGAGUUUUGAGUGCUGUGAGAGGAACCUGAAAAGCCUCGUGAGAAUAAUAGCAUCAUCCUCCUAUCACUUUAGACUUGCUUUAUCUGAGUAUACAAGCAGAUUUGCCACUGUAGAAGAGCCAAGGAAGAGAAACUUCAGCAGGCAAUAGCAAUGCACAGCCAAUUUCAUGCUCCACUAUAGAUUUUCCUGGAAACACGAACUGCCAAGAGAGGAAUGGGACACAAAACUAAACACCAUAAAUUAUGGUUUGCAAACUGGCAUUUCAUCAGUGGCUAAAUUCACAGAUAUCCUAUAUAGAUUGUAUACAGAACUGAGACUGAUUUUGUACAGAUUAGAAUGAUUGCUAUGAUCUUUACUUUAAGAAGUUUUUCUGCACUAUUUGCACUGAAAUAUUUAUUGUUGAUAAACCCUAUCAUAUUUAAGUUCCACUGCUGUUCCACUUACCUUGCUUAAAUGCCUAUGCAUGUAAUUUUAGCUAGUUUUUAAUAUUUUAUAAAACUUCAUUUAAAUUUGUAUUUUUAACUUGAAGCUCCAUUUCUUUAUCAAGAGUGGUAUGUAGAUUUUUUUCCUCUUAACCUUUUUUGAAAAACUAUUUUCAACUGUGAGGGAACCCUUAUUUUUCUUUCUUUCUGGAUAAAACUUUCAAAAGCAAUUUAAGAUAUUCAUAGUAUUAGGAAACACUAAACCUGCCUAUGUGCCAUCUCACAAAAGAAACUUUUAAUACCUACAAUAAAUCAAAAGAAUAAACCAGCUGUUCUUAAAUAUUGUUUCAUUUUUAAAACUAAAGAUGCAUUUAAGAAGCAAUACAAGUAAAUAUUUUAUCUAAUAGAAAAAAAAAGUUGCCUUUCAUUUAAACCAGUCCAACACAAACUCUCAUGCUAAUUUUUUAAAAAAUAAGUAUCUGGUAGGUUUGUGGCUGGAUAGGUUUCCUAAAUUCCUAAUGUUAAUAAACAGUAAAUCUAUACACAAAAAAGUCAAUGAACUUAUCUGACCUUUACUGUGAGUUAGCUUUUCCUAAGAGAAAAGCUAUAGUAAUAAAUAAAAUUUAAUUUUUAGGCAGUCCUGAUUUUUAAUGAAUUUGAGUGUUCUUGUGUACUGUGUUCAGCAAUUUGCUUCUAUACCGUGUCACAAAAUUAACGUAUUUCUUGAGUAGUCCUAAAAACUCAUAAAGGAAAAUGCCAUGAACUGUGUAGCUGAGGCUUGCUAAGGUACCAUCUAAAUUACACAACAGACUAAUGCAUAAUUUCGCUUAAAUGUCAUCCCGGUAUGAUUGUCUUCCCAACACCAGCAUACAAUAUAGAUUUUCUUUUUUAUAUUUUUUAGUUCUUCCUGUACAUGUUUUUGGCAAUAAAGUUAUAGGAAAAACAAAAUUAUUUUGUUGGAAUUAAAACAUGCUUAAUAUUUAGUCUGUUUGUGGAGGAGAAGUAUUCACGUGGACUAAGAUAUAAUGUUGGAUACAGAAAAUAACUUUCCUUGUCUCCCUGGCACUGUGCUAAGGGCAUGCUGUUAAAUCUUCAAAAUGACCAGAUGAGGAAGGAAUAAUUAUUACUCCUGAUUUAUAGAUAACUGAAGUAAAAGUUUCAAAUUUAUGAUAGUCUUUUGGGUAUUCAGAAACCUUUCCUUACUGUACUGGCCACCAGAGCUUAAUUUUCCCAGCAGUUACAGCAAUGGAAGAUAUAACGGUCUCAAUCUUUUGCCAACAAUCGGGUUCCUAGAAAUCAGGUGUAUUGCAUAACAAGGGAGGAGCAUACCACAGCCCUUCAUUUGAUUAAUUCAUUUGAUCUAUUUUAUUAAGUACCUACUAAGAAUAAGGCAUUGUGGAAAUACUCUACAAAGAUAAACAUUGCUUAGAUGCUUAUCUGCUUUCCUGUUCACCAAAAACAAACAAAAAACCCGAAACAUUUUCUUACGGAGUAAAUAUCUUCUACAUAAUCACAUGAGUAGUUCAUCUCUGUGUUUUUUUUUAAAUUGAACUAUUAUUCCAGUUUCAUUCUAUACCAGUUAACAUAGCUUAGGUUCUCCUUCAAAAUUCAUUCAUUAGAUAACCUUGUUACAACCCAGUCAUUAAACAGAGGAGUUAGAUCACAAUUAUCUGCAUUUAACAAAUAGAUAAAUCAGUUCACAUAAAGGUUAUAUAUGUCACCCAGGAUGAAAAGAAUCUGCAUUUGAAUAUGCCCGUGUGAAUGUGGGUUCUGUUUUUGCAACAGAUUAAGUGACCAUUUUUUCUAAUUUUAUGGCUAUAUAUUUUUUCUUAUGAAUUGGCCACAUUGGAGAAGCAGUGCCACGGGAAAAAUGAGAUGGAAAUCAGAAUUAGAGAGGAAUACUUAGGAGUUAUUAAUCAGUGUAGGAAUUUGUCAUAGGAAGAAAUUUAAAGGUUAAUAUCUCAAAAUAGAAGAAAAUUCUAAAUCAGUGAGAUAUAAACUAAAGAGACCCACUUCAAAGUUGAAAGAAAUUUCUAGGCAUAAAUUGAGACUAGGAAAUUUAUAUCAGAAUAGAGGGUGCAUGACACAUAUAUAUGCUUAAAUUGAAGGACAGCUCAGAUUCAUUUUUAGAAGAAAGUAAACUAAUGUGCUCUUAAAUAAUAAAAAUUUAUUCUAUGGUUUCUGUCUCGAUCGUCACCUUCCAUUCUAUAGAAAGUUCAGUUACUGAUUUGCUGGGUCAUGGUCAAAAUUCUUACUCAUUUAACAUCAAAUUUAAAAAAUACUUGCGUUCUAAAUAUUACUAAUUGGGAAGUAAUAUGCCUCAAAUCAACUUUAUACUGGAUUAUUCCCUAUGCUUUAAACCACUGCUCUCAAUAUAACACUUCCUGAUAAAUGUUUGAUUAUUCGAUAUUUUAGUCUCGUUGGGUUAGCCAUGCUCUUUGAAGAAUCUGUGAAAGUAAAGUUUUAAUAAGCAAUAAAUGCAACAUUUUAUAUAAAUCUCAGUGCUAGGUUAACUUCUAAUAAGUAGACAAACAUGUUACAUAAAUUAUAAUGUCUUGUAAAAAAGUUGAGGGGACUAAAAGUUUAUGACUCUGAUGUAGAAGAUGUCAUAUUAAAAAACUGCAUUUUAAAACAUCAAAUAUUUAUACUAUUUGCUUUUCAAAUAAAUGCAUAGUGCUGUUUGGCA